rnacentral:rRNA from 1 species
CCUACGUGCGGCAGCAGUGAGGAAUAUUGGUCAAUGGGCUUACGCCUGAACCAGCCAAGUCGCGUGAGGGAAGACUGCCCUAUGGGUUGUAAACCUCUUUUGUCAGGGAGCAACGCCGGCUACGUGUAGCCGGACUGAGAGUACCUGAAGAAAAAGCAUCGGCUAACUCCGUGCCAGCAGCCGCGGUAAUACGGAGGAUGCGAGCGUUAUCCGGAUUUAUUGGGUUUAAAGGGUGCGUAGGCGGAAUGCCAAGUCAGCGGUAAAAUCGCGGGGCUCAACCUCGCUCCGCCGUUGAACCUGGCGUUCUUGAGUGGGCGAGAAGUAUGCGGAAUGCGUGGUGUAGCGGUGAAAUGCAUAGAUAUCACGCAGAACUCCGAUUGCGAAGGCAGCAUACCGGCGCCCAACUGACGCUGAAGCACGAAAGCGUGGGUAUCGAACAGGAUUAGAUACCCCAGUAGUC